CAUGCGCAUUGUUGACGAUGGUGGUGACUGAAGCGGCUGUGGGUCAAGAGGGAGGAAAGGAGCCAGCAGUGAUGAGUUUUCUAGUUCCUUUUCUAGAAUAUUAGAACAGAUGGAUUUACAGACAGGAGGCUCAAACCGAACAUCACAGCAUAAACUGACAGAGUCACUCGAUUCAUCAGGAGCUGAAGAUCAUCAGCCUGUCAAUAUGGAUGGAGAAAUGUUUGCCUGUUCAGUCUGUGGGGAAAUGUUUCAAACAUCAGUGUGACUGGAAAAUCACCAAGACACACAUUCACCUGAGUGAGAGUGUUCCAGUAAACUGACUGUGGAAAGUGCUUUAACCAUUUACACAGCCUGAAAAAACUUCACACCAUUCAUAAUGGGGAUAAACUGUACAUGUGUUCUGUGUGUCUGGACAAGGCUUCAACUGAUCGUUGAACCUUAAGAGACACAAAGACAGCAGCACUAUGGAGAAACCAUGGAAAUGUGAGGACUGUGGUAAAGGAUUCCAUUCUUCAUUUCGGCUGGAAAUCCAUCAGCGCAUUCACACACGGGAGAAUGUGUUCAACUAUUCUGUGUGUGGGAAGGGAUUCACUCGGUCAUCCGGCCUUCAGUCACACCAGCGGGUUCACAUUGAGAAGAAGCCAUUCAGUUGCACAACCUGAGGACACAGCUUCAAGUCUUCAUCCAUCCUCACUGAACACCAACGGAUUCACACGGGUGGAAGACCAUUCACUUGCUUCGUGUGUGGAAAGGGAUUCACUCAGGUAAUCUCCCUCCAGUCACACCAUCAAACGAAGGAGAAUCCAUUCAGCUGUACUUCCUGUGGAAAGAGUUUCAGGCAAUCAACCAACCUCAACGAACACCAAUGAACACUGGGGAGAAGCUGUUCACCUGCUCCGUGUGUGGGAAGGGAUUCCCUUGGUCAUCCCAACUGCUGACACAUCAGUGAGUUCACACUGGGGACAGACCAUUCACCUGUUUCUUGUGUGGGGCGGGAUUCACUCAGUCACAACACCUGCUGAGACACGAACGAGUUCACAAGUGAUUACAAUGGUUGGACUCUGCUGUUGUUGCUGCUGUUAAUCACACCCAGGAUCGAUAGUCUGACAAUAUUAGGUUUGUUUUUGCUGAUAUUCACAACCUUAUAACUAGCUGGAGUUUAAUAUUCUGGAGAUGUCACCGACUUUCGGGGUUGCAAUGUCCCUUUUGAAAGCACAAUUUGUGAUCUUUCCCCUUAAUACAAGAACUCUUCUCAAUUACAAAUUUACAAUAAAAUUAUGAACUGUUACUUCAAUCCUAAAUUGAUAUUUGAUGCGAAAUCCAUAAUUUGGUGUCAGAAAAGUUCCACUUUUUACAUCUCUGGUUAUAAAGUGCUGAUUAAUCCUUGCUAACAAUUCUUACUGACUUGCACAUUCUUCAGUGACACCUUCAUCAUGAGAUUAAAUUAAUAAGGAACAUUAAACAAAGCUGUAAAUACUUUACAUGCACAUCAAUAAAAGCUUCAUCAAUCAACAUUGAUAUUGAUGAAGUUUGGAAGUCGCUGAGUUCCAUCAUUUCUGACACAGCAGCAGCAACAUUUGGUAAAGGUGGAACCCACAACAAAGGCUGGUUUGAGACCUAUUCAGCAGAGAUGACAUCUGUCAUUGAAGCAAAAAGCAAAGCCAACCUGAUGCACAACAUAAACCCAACAGCUAGAACACUGCAUAACUUGAAAGUAGUCAAGACAGUCAUGUAAAAGACAGGGAGAUCCUGUGCAAAUAAAUAGUGGAUCAGCCUAUAUUAAGAAAUCCAAAGUGCCUGUGACCAGUGGAAUGUGCUAUGUAUGAUGGGAUCAAGAAGGUGCUUGGUCCGACCAUCACCAAAGUUGACCCCUGAAAUCAUGGAUGGUGACGUACUCACUGACAGAAGUAAACAAAUGUCCCAGUGGGUUGAACAUUACUGUGAGCUGUGCUCCUGUGAGACGUACAUCUCUCAGUCUCCGUUUGACUCUCCUGCAGCUUCCCAUCAUGGUUGAGUUGGAUGAGGAACCCACAUCAUUUGAGUUUGAAAAGGCCAAUUAUAGCUUAGCAAGCAGUAAAUCACCCAACAAGGAAAGAGUUCUAACCAAACUGCUCAGGCACAGGAAAUGCCAGAUAUUGUGACCACCUCCUUCUCUGAAAAGACGGAUCUGUUCCGCAAGAUAUGCAUGAUGCAAAACUCAUCACAAUAUACAAAAACAAUGGUGACAGAGGAGAUUGCAGCAACUACAGGGGUAUUUCAUUCCUUAGCAUCACAGGGAAGACCUUCACUGCGGUCAUGCUUCAACACUUUAACUUUUUGCAGACUGAGUGUACCCAGAAGCAAAGUGCAGUUUCUGUGCUGGCGGAUCUACAGUGGACAUGAUCUUCUCCAUACACCAGCUACAAGAGAAGCAUACCAUUGGGAUUUAAAAUACUGCCAGCUUCUGUGCUGAGAAAAGUGAAAUGUUACAAUUACUGAUGAAAUUAAACUUUUUAGCAUUAA